AUGUGUAGAAAAGAAAAGUUCUCGGAAUGUCCUGAAAAUCCACGGAGACACUUUUUGGAAAAUAUAAAAAAUAUUGGUGAAAGAAUCAAGACCAGGGGGCCCACACCCUGUCCACGAGACAGGGGGGCGCGCCCCUCCCCCUGGGCGCGCUCCCCCUAUCUCGUGGGCCCCCUGGACCUCCACCGACCUCAACUCCAACUCCAUAUAUUCACGUUCGGGGAGAAAAAAAAUCAGAGAGAAAGUUUCAUCGCGUUUUACGACACGGAGCCGCCGCCAAGCCUUAAUCUCUCUCGGGAGGGCUGA
rnacentral:rRNA from 1 species